ensembl:lncRNA
UCUCCUCAUCACCUUAUCCUCUCUCCUCCUCUCCUCAUCACCUUCUCCUCUCUCCUCCUCUCCUCAUCACCUUCUCCUCUCUCCUCCUCUCCUCAUCACCUUCUCCUCUCUCCUCCUCUCCUCAUCGCCUUCUCCUCUCUCCUCCUCUCCUCAUCACCUUCUCCUCUCUCCUCCUCUCAUCAUCACCUUCUCCUCUCCUCAUCACCUCACCUUCUCCUCUCUCGUCCUCUCCUCAUCACCUUCUCCUCUCUCAUCCUCUCCUCAUCACCUUCUCCUCUCCUCAUCACCUCACCUUCUCCUCUCUUGUCCUCUCCUCAUCGCCUUCUCCUCUCUCGUCCUCUCCUCAUCACCUUCUCCUCUCUCCUCCUCUCCUCAUCACCUUCUCCUCUCUCGUCCUCUCCUCAUCACCUUCUCCUCUCUCCUCCUCUCCUCAUCACCUUCUCCUCUCUCCUCCUCUCAUCAUUGCCUUCUCCUCUCCUCCUCUCCUCAUCACCUUCUCCUCCUCAUCACAUUAUCCUCUCUGCUCCUCUCCUCAUCACCUUCUCCUCUCUCCUCAUCACCUUCUCCUCUCUCCUCCUCUCCUCUAUCGUCCUCUCCUCAUCACCUUCUCCUCUCUCGUCCUCUCCUCAUCACCUUCUCCUCUCGUCCUCUCCUCAUCAUCUUCUCCUCUCUCGUCCUCUCCUCAUCACCUUCUCCUCCUCUCCUCAUCACCUUCUCCUCUCCUCGUCACCUUCUCCUCUCCUCAUCACCUCACCUUCUCCUCUCUCGUCCUCUCCUCAUCACCUUCUCCUCUCUCCUUCUCUCAUCAUCGCCUUCUCCUCUCCUCCUCUCCUCAUCGCCUUCUCCAACUCAUCACCUUCUCCUCUCUGCUCCUCUCCUCAUCACCUUCUCCUCUCUCUCUCUCUCAUCACCUUCUCCUCUCUCCUCCUCACCUUCUCCUCUCUCCUCCUCUCCUCAUCACCUUCUCCUCUCUCCUCCCCUCCUCAUCACCUUCUCUUCUCCUUAUCACCUUCUCCUCUCCUCAUCACAAUCUCCUCUCCUCAUCACCUCACCUUCUCCUCUCUCUCAUCCUCUCCUCAUCACCUUCUCCUCUCUCGUCCUCUCCUCAUCACCUUCUCCCUCCUCCUCUCCUCAUCACCUUCUCCUCUCUCCUCCUCUCCUCAUCACCUUCUCCUCAUCACCUUCUCCUCUCUCCUCCUCUCAUCACCUUCUCCUCUCUCCUCAUCACCUUCUCCUCUCUCCUCAUCACCCUGUCCUCUCUCCUCCUCUCCUUCACCUCUCUCCUCAUCACCUUCUCCUCUCCUCAUCACCUUCUCCUCAUCACCUUCUCUUCUCUCCUCCUUUCAUCACCUUCUCCUCUCUCCUCAUCACCUUCUCCUCUCUCCUCCUCUCCUCAUCACCUUCUCCUCCUCUCCUCAUCAUCUUCUCCUCUCCUCAUCACCUUCUCCUCUCUCCUCCUCACCUUCUCCUCUCUCCUCCUCUCAUCACCUUCUCCUCUCAUCACCUUCUCCUCCUCUCAUCACCUUCUCCUCUCUCCUCAUCACCUUCUCCUCUCUCCUCCUCUCCUCAUCACCUUCUCCUCUCUCCUCCUCUCCUCAUCACCUUCUCCUCCUCUCCUCAUCACCUUCUCUCCUCCUCAUCUUCUCCUCCUCUCCUCAUCAUCUUCUCCUCCUCUCCUCAUCACCUUCUCCUCUCUCCUCCUCACCUUCUCCUCUCUCCUCCUCUCGUCACCUUCUCCUCCUCUCAUCACCUUCUCCUCCUCUCAUCACCUUCUCCUCUCUCCUCAUCAACUUCUCCUCUCUCCUCCUCUCCUCAUCACCUUCUCCUCUCUCCUCCUCUCCUCAUCACCUUCUCCUCUCUCCUCCUCUCCUCAUCACCUUCUCCUCCUCUCCUCAUCACCUUCUCCUCUCUCCUCCUCACCUUCUCCUCUCUCCUCCUCACCUUCUCCUCUCUCCUCCUCACCUUCUCCUCUCUCCUCCUCUCCUCAUUGCCCUCUCAUCUCUUCCCUAAUGCAGAUUAAAGUGAGCCAUGUACUCUAAUGCUCUAUUUGGGCCUAGGAGAUGGGAACCAAUAAAGAUUGAUAGAAGUGGAUAGAGAUAGUGAUAAAAGAGGAGGGGUGAGAAAGAGAGAGGGAGAGACAGGGAUUGAGGGUUAAGACAAGUGAGAAACUUUAGUGAUUGAGAGAGAGAGAGAGAGAGAGAGAGAGAGAGAGAGCUCGUGUAAUUGUAUGGUAAUAAGUUGUCAGGAGAACCUGUCAGGGUCGAGCUGGAGCCGCUCCGGAGCGACGAGGAGAUGGAGGAGAGGAAAGGAAGAAGGUAUUGGAGUCAGGAUCCCUCUGAGGAAAGUCCAAUCCAUGAUAGCGUUACCUGAUUGCCAAUUUGUGUCUGUCUUCAGACAUCACACACACAAAACACCCACACACAUGCACUGUAGUGGAAUGAUGGAGUUGAUUGGACAGGCUCUUGGUGCCUAACGAGGGGUCCAGGGCAAUCACAGACCAGUUGCUUUGUGACUGGAGGAGAAUGAAGGCCGCUAUAGCUUGUAUUCUCAUCAUUUCUCGAUGAAAAGGGAGCGCUACACUGAUUGUCUUCCCCCCUACUGUGCAUGCAGUUGAGCUGUUUGAAUCGGGCCUGCUGUUCAGAAAUGUAUACUGAAACAGAGAACUUUGAUCAAACUUCUGUGAUUGAGGCUGGAGUCCUAGGGACUCAUCUUUUUCUCUCUUUCUUCCUCUCUGACUCUUUUUCUCUUCACUCAAUCUCUUGUUUGUCCUGCAUCUCUUUUUCUCUCCUUGCAUGCACACACGCACACAUCGAUUGGAGAGUCGAUAUUGAGCAGUGGCUCUCGUCUAAAUUAAUAUUUGAUUUCUCUGGGGGUUUCAGACUGGAACCUUACAGUUACAGUCUGAGGGAUUGCUCUAAACGUUGUUUGAUUAAGUUUGUGUGUGUGUGUGUGUGUGUGUGUGUGUGCCUGCCUGCGAUACAACCCCCUACACACACAUUCAUGCACACAAUCAUACACACACAUCACUUGACUAGAAUGCAUCACUCACUGCAAAGCCUCUGCCAUUAAAGCUGUUAAUUUAUCAGACACACAUGGUGACUUAUUGAUUGAUGUGAGCACUAGGCCCAGAACUGUGUCUCUCAAACACUAGACCCAGAACUGUGUCUCUCAAACACUAGGCCCAGAACUGUAUCUCUCAAACACUAGGCCCAGAACUGUGUCUCUCAACCACUAGGCCCAGAACUGUGUCUCUCAAACACUAGGCCCAGAACUGUGUCUCUCAAACACUAGACCCAGAACUGUGUCUCUCAAACAUUAGACCCAGAACUGUGUCUCUCAAACACUAGGCCCAGAACUGUGUCUCUCAAAUCCUAGGCCCAGAACUGUAUCUCUCAAACACUAGGCCCAGAACUGUGUCUCUCAAAAACUAGACCCAGAACUGUCUCUCAAACAGAGUCCCCAGUUCUCUGCAGCGAUAUGGUGAAACCAAAAGCAUGCCUUGUGUACUGUAGAAUCAUUCUUGUUUCAAAAUCCAAUAGUGUUAUUCGUGUAUAGUAUAUGGGUGCAUUCUAGGGUUUAGGGUGGGAAGAAAAUCCUUAGUACUGCAGUCAUCCAUUGUAAUGUAAGGAUGAGAGACCCUGGUAUUGUGCUGUAACUCCAAACACAAGGUAUGUUUCUCUCUGUCAGUGUGUUUGUCGACUUUGUUCUGUUGUUUGUGAGAUCUGAUUGGCAUCAGCACAGCAGUGUGUGUGUGAGAGAGAGAGUGAGAGAGUGAGAGAGUGAGAGAGUGAGAGAGAGAGCGAGAGAGAGAGCGAGAGAGAGAGAGUGAGAGAGAGCGAGAGAGAGCGAGAGAGAGAGAGAGAGCAAGAGAGAGAGCGAGAGAGCGAGCGAGAGCGAGCGAGAGAGAGAGAGAGAGAGAGAGAGAGAGCACGUUGGGGUAAUCUGCUUCUGCAAGAGUCUGUUACAUUAUUCAUCCUCCUGGGGCUCUGCGGCAGGGAGGGAGCAGCGGAGAGGGGUGGAGGAAUAGAGGAAGAGAGAAACAGAGAGGGUAAAGGACUCAGACAGAGCAGCCAAACAUUUCCGCACUGAGAGAUACAGUAUCAGAUACAUUACUCCCAGAUUGAAGGGGGUUAUUCAUGAAACUUUACAGCCACAGUAAAACAGUCUUCUAAAACCCAGCUUAAAGAAUAUCGAAGUGACCUUCGUGGGAGGGAUCUCAGAUAUUUCAGACUCCAGAGUAUGUUGUUCAGAGCAGAUAUCUGUUCUAAACAGACAGGUUCUAGUUAACCUGAGCCUUGUAUUAAAUGUCCACCCGAAGGCCUGGGGCGAGGUAAAGAGACAGUGUGAGGAAAGGGCUGGGUAUCGAUCCUCAGAGACAGACUUUGGCCCUCGGAUCAGACAAUAUUGACAGGCUAUCACCCACACACCCAGCGAAGUCUGACACUGUCUGACACCCAUCAUUAACACACACACGUGCAUGCACACACACACGCCGGAGGGAGGGUUGUGUGUGUGUGAGGUGGAGGGCUGUGUGCUUGGGAUGCAGAGCACGUUCGAGGUCUGUGAAGUUCUCCUUGCAGCAAAGUCUCAUUAAAGAGGCUCGCCUUAACACAGCUAUCUACAGCCAGACCAGACCUGACCACACACACAGAGAGGGAAGGAGAUAGAGAGAGAUAGAGAGAAAUAGAGAGAGUGAAAGAGACACUGAGGAACUCAAGCACGCACACAAACACAUAUGAAAUACUAUAUAAAUCUUUCUCAGGACACUGUGGUAUAACACAGUGUUUGAGUGGGAGGGAAUGGGUUUGUUAGAAGAAAAAAAAGAAUGUUCGCUCCCAUGGUGAUUUAAUCAGACACACAAAAAAAGACCUGACGAAGAUCCAACUCGGCUCGAAACCUUGUCUUUUCUUGCGUCAGAUCAAAUCCCCAUGGGAGCACACCACAGUUGCAGACAUUGCUUUUUUCUUUGAUCUGUCCUGCACCUGAUAAGUUGUAUGGGUGGGAUUUGACCCCUCCCUGAAGACUCCCUGAUCUUCCCUUUUUCCAUGUCCCUCUCUACAUCAACAGUGUUUAAACUAUGUUCUCCCAAAACUAUUCCCCUCCUACAGUAAUAUGAUAUUCAUGUAUAUUUGAUUGUGUCAUCUCUGUGGAGACUGCCUAUGGUGUGUCUGUGUGCCUUCUAAAUCUGUGUUUAUGAAUAAGUAAUAGAUUGCUAUGCACUGUGAUUAUUAAAGAACCCAAACUGCCAGGAAGCCAUGAUGAAAUUAUAUUGUAAUUCCUGCAUCUCUGAUGAAUACAUUUAUAUUUUUAUUUCUUGCAAUUUCUUUCCUGUUUCUGUUCCGGUAAAUGAGCGCUAAAGCUCUCUUGUUUUGCACUGAGACUCCCUGACGUUUACAUUUGUAUGGUUUUCACAACUGCGCUGAGAGUUUUUUAAUAAAACCGUCCUGUUUGUAAAUA